UGCCUUUAUGUGUUGCCCGUUCAUUGUCUCUGUAAUGAUCGGGGUGUCAGAUGAGGCACACAUUGACUUUUGUGAUUGUUUGUAAAACGAGAUUAUAAAUUGCUCGUUUACGUAAAACAACUGCAAAGACACAU
rnacentral:snoRNA from 1 species